AUUUAAACAUUACCAAAAUUGAUUUCCAAGGUUGAAAAGCAUAUCCCCAAGUGAUUUUGAAAAUGUCCAAAUGUUUUUAACCAUUCUAGAUUUGUUUCAAGGAUUUGUGAUCCACAAGUUAUAGUCACCCAGCAAUUAAUGUGGUGAUUUUGCAAUAACUUGAUGAAAUUAAACCAACCCAUACGAGGAGACGAAGAAAGGUAGGUACCUGGUCGAAAAUGGCGGUGGGAAUUGCCAAGGUAACCAUGGCAUUAGGCGUAUCAACAAUCCCAGAGAUUCUUCCUUCACAUGGGCAGCACGAUAGCAGCAGAUAAGCCUGAAUUUCACACAUCUUAUUUUCAAUAAUCGUAUUACACAGCCAUUGUUAUUUAGUUUUUUUGCUCGUGUAAGGUGUUUGUGAAUUUGCUUGUGUGAGUUCUCGUACUACCAAUGGCAAUCGAAGAAAGUCACCAUACCUGCUCCUUUGAGUACCCAAAUUUGUGAAGGUAGUCAAUGGCGUUGAGCACAGCGCGCUUGUAAGCUACAGUGGCAUCAAGAAAAUGCUGCCUCCCACUUUCAUCAACGCUGAUGCCUUCAAAAACCAACCACUCUGAGAAUCUUGGUUCAACUGGACCUAUCUCAAAAAUUGGGUUCACGUGCAGAGGAGUCGGCCCCAUUGGUGUCAGG